rnacentral:rRNA from 1 species
CUUGAACGCUGGCGGCCGGCCUAACACAUGCAAGUCGAGCGCCCGGCGGCCGGGUGAUUAAUGCCUGGCAAUCGCCCAGUCGAGGGUGAUCACAGUUGGACACGACUGCUAAUCACCCAUCCGAUCGUAUUCCCCAGGUGGGAUUAGCUAGUUGGUGCGGUAAUGGCUCACCAAGCCGACGAUCCCUAGCUGGUAUGAGAGGAUGAUCAGCCACACUGGAACUGAGACACGGUCCAGACGCCUACGGGAGGAAGCAGUGGGGAAUAUUGCAGAAUGGGGGAAACCCUGAUGCAGCAAUGCCGCGUGUGUGAAGAAGGACUUCGGGUUGUAAAGCACUUUAAGCGAGGAGGCGUUACUCGCAGAAGAAGCACCGGCUAACUCCGUGCCAGCCGCCGCGGUAAUAC